rnacentral:rRNA from 1 species
GCACGAAAGCGUGGGGAGCAAACAGGAUUAGAUACCCUGGUAGUGCACGCCCUAAACGAUGUCGACUGGCUGUUGGGAGAGGAAUCUUUCAGUAGCGAAGCAAACGCGUGAAGUCGACCGCCUGGGGAGUGCGGCCGCAAGGUUGAAACUCAAAGGAAUUGACGGGGGCCCGCACAAGCGGUGGAUGAUGUGGAUUAAUUCGAUGCAACGCGAAGAACCUUACCUACCCUUGACAUGCCCGGAACCCUGGAGAGAUCUGGGGGUGCCCGCAAGGGAAUCGGGACACAGGUGCUGCAUGGCUGUCGUCAGCUCGCGUCGUGAGAUGUUGGGUUAAGUCCCGCAACGAGCGCAACCCUUGCCUCUAGUUGCUACGAAAGGGCACUCUAGAGGGACUGCCGGUGACAAACCGGAGGAAGGUGGGGAUGACGUCAAGUCCUCAUGGCCCUUAUGGGUAGGGCUUCACACGUCAUACAAUGGUCGGUACAGAGGGUAGCCAACCCGCGAGGGGGAGCCAAUCCCAGAAAGCCGAUCGUAGUCCGGAUCGCAGUCUGCAACUCGACUGCGUGAAGUCGGAAUCGCUAGUAAUCGCGGAUCAGCAUGUCGCGGUGAAUACGUUCCCGGGCCUUGUACACACCGCCCGUCACACCAUGGGAGUGGGUUGCUCCAGAAGUAGGUAGCCUAACCGCGAGGAGGGCGCUUACCACGGAGUGGUCCAUGACUGGGGUGAAGUCGUAACAAGGUAGCCGUAUCGGAAGGUGCGGCUGGACACCUCC